rnacentral:rRNA from 1 species
AUUGAACGCUGGCGGCAGGCUUAACACAUGCAAGUCGAGCGGGGAAGGGUAGCUUGCUACCUGACCUAGCGGCGGACGGGUGAGUAAUGCUUAGGAAUCUGCCUAUUAGUGGGGGACAACAUUCCGAAAGGAAUGCUAAUACCGCAUACGCCCUACGGGGGAAAGCAGGGGAUCUUCGGACCUUGCGCUAAUAGAUGAGCCUAAGUCAGAUUAGCUAGUUGGUGGGGUAAAGGCCUACCAAGACGACGAUCUGUAGCGGGUCUGAGAGGAUGAUCCGCCACACUGGGACUGAGACACGGCCCAGACUCCUACGGGAGGCAGCAGUGGGGAAUAUUGGACAAUGGGCGCAAGCCUGAUCCAGCCAUGCCGCGUGUGUGAAGAAGGCCUUUUGGUUGCAAAGCACUUUAAGCGAGGAGGAGGCUACUUGGAUUAAUACUCUAGGAUAGUGGACGUUACUCGCAGAAUAAGCACCGGCUAACUCUGUGCCAGCAGCCGCGGUAAUACAGAGGGUGCGAGCGUUAAUCGGAUUUACUGGGCGUAAAGCGUGCGUAGGCGGCUUUUUAAGUCGGAUGUGAAAUCCCUGAGCUUAACUUAGGAAUUGCAUUCGAUACUGGGAAGCUGGAGUAUGGGAGAGGAUGGUAGAAUUCCAGGUGUAGCGGUGAAAUGCGUAGAGAUCUGGAGGAAUACCGAUGGCGAAGGCAGCCAUCUGGCCUAAUACUGACGCUGAGGUACGAAAGCAUGGGGAGCAAACAGGAUAGAUACCCUAGUAGUCCAAGGGCGAAUUCCACAGUGGAUAUCAAGCUUAUCGAUACCGGUCGACCUCGAGGGGGGGCCCGGUACCCAGCUUUUGUUCCCUUUAGAGAACGGAUAAAUACACGCUUGGCGUAUCAUGGUCAUAGCUGUUUCCAGA